AUUCUCUCUCAUUCCAAAGAAUCAGGAAGAUGCAGCCAUCAGGUGCAGAAGUUCACCAACGAAUAGCCAGAAUUUCAGCUCAUCUUUACCCUUCAAAUCCCCAGAUGGGAGAUGGGUCUAUUUUGGAAAGAACAAAUUGCAGAGCAAAAGGUGGAGCAGCUGGAUUCAAAGUUGCUAUACUGGGUGCUGCUGGAGGAAUUGGGCAGCCACUUGCAAUGUUGAUGAAGAUGAAUCCUUUAGUCUCAGUUCUUCAUCUCUAUGA
rnacentral:misc_RNA from 1 species